CUACGGGGGGCUCCAGUCUAGAAGCUUCCGCAAUGGGCGAAAGCCUGACGGAGCGACGCCGCGUGCGGGAUUGAAGGUCGUGAGAUUGUAAACCGCUGUCAGCAGGGAAGAAUGCCCCGAUGGUGAAUCGGGUAGAGACGGUACCUGCAGAGGAAGCCCCGGCUAAAUCCGUGCCAGCAGCCGCGGUAAUACGGAGGGGGCGAACGUUGUUCGGAUUUACUGGGCGUAAAGGGUGCGUAGGCGGUUCGGUCAGUCUGAUGUGAAAUCCUCCGGCUCAACCGGGGAACUGCAUUGGAAACUGCCGAGCUCGAGGAUGGGAGAGGCAGGUGGAAUUCCUGGUGUAGCGGUGGAAUGCGUAGAUAUCAGGAAGAACACUCGUGGCGAAGGCGGCCUGCUGGCCCAUUUCUGACGCUGAGGCACGAAAGCCAGGGGAGCGAACGGGAUUAGAUACCCUAGUAGUC
rnacentral:rRNA from 1 species